rnacentral:rRNA from 1 species
GACGAACGCUGGCGGCGUGCCUAAUACAUGCAAGUAGAACGCUGAAGGAGGAGCUUGCUUCUCUGGAUGAGUUGCGAACGGGUGAGUAACGCGUAGGUAACCUGCCUGGUAGCGGGGGAUAACUAUUGGAAACGAUAGCUAAUACCGCAUAAGAGCAGAUGUUGCAUGACAUUUGCUUAAAAGGUGCAAUUGCAUCACUACCAGAUGCACCUGCGUUGUAUUAGCUAGUUGGUGGGGUAACGGCUCACCAAGGCGACGAUACAUAGCCGACCUGAGAGGGUGGUCGGCCCCCCUGGGACUGGGACACGGCCCAGACUCCUACGGGAAGCAGCAGUAGGGAAACUUCGGCAAUGGGCGGAAAUCUGGCCGAACAACGCCGCGUGAGUGAAGAAGGUUUUCGGGUCGUGAAGCUCUGUUGUAAGGGAAGAACGAGUGUGGGAGUGGAAAGUUCAGAGUGUGACGGUAUCUGACCAAAAAGGGACGGCUAACUACGUG